AUUGAACGCUGGCGGCAUGCCUUACACAUGCAAGUCGAACGGCAGCGCGGGGCAACCUGGCGGCGAGUGGCGAACGGGUGAGUAAUAUAUCGGAACGUACCCUGGAGUGGGGGAUAACGUAGCGAAAGUUACGCUAAUACCGCAUACGAUCUAAGGAUGAAAGUGGGGGAUCGCAAGACCUCAUGCUCCUGGAGCGGCCG
rnacentral:rRNA from 1 species